GGAGGGACGUGAGACUCCAGUCAGUGGGGUGACAGGAAGCAGGGUGUGGCAAUGCCAGGCUGGGCCAGGCCCGGAAGGGCUUUGUCAGCCCCAGGGUGAGCCUGGAGUGCCACCUGGCUUUGGACUGCCCACCAUCAGGCCAACACCAUUUUCCUGACGACCCACGCACCUCCUUCGAUGCUGGCCAGUGGGGCGGCAGGCCACAGAGUUAUCUGUCUGGACACCAGAGCUUGAAUGGUUUUAGCUCUGUCUGGAGUCCUCACGGGAGAGCUUCUUCCUGGCCACAUCUCAGCAGAUGAACAAGUCGCUUUUGUGUGUGGGUGUGGUAUUGACAAGGCGCCUGGGAGGCCAUGGUGUGUUUUGGACCGAGGUGUCCCGGGCUGGUGAGACACGCCAUGUGGGCGGGGCGGUCUCGGCAAGUGUUUGGCUGCAUGUGUAUCUGUCCACCACAUAUGUGCCUACUGCCUGUGGAAACCGGAAGAGACUGAUGGGGGCCCUGGAAUUGGAAAUACACACUUUGUGAGCCACUGUGUGGGUGCUGGGAACCAAACCUGGGUCCUGUGUGUGCUGUGGGAUGUUCUGUAUGUUAAAUAUGCUGCUCUGAUUGGUUAAUAAAUAAAACACUGAUUGGCCAGUAGCCAG